UACGUAGGGCGCAAGCGUUGUCCGGAAUUAUUGGGCGUAAAGAGCUCGUAGGCGGUCUGUCGCGUCCGUUGUGAAAACUCGAGGCUCAACCUCGGGCUUGCAGUGGAUACGGGCAGACUAGAGUGCGGUAGGGGAGACUGGAAUUCCUGGUGUAGCGGUGGAAUGCGCAGAUAUCAGGAGGAACACCGAUGGCGAAGGCAGGUCUCUGGGCCGCAACUGACGCUGAGGAGCGAAAGCCAGGGGAGGCAAACGGG
rnacentral:rRNA from 1 species